rnacentral:rRNA from 1 species
UACGUAGGGACCAAGCGUUGUCCGGAAUCAUUGGGCGUAAAGCGCGCGUAGGUGGCUUCGUAAGUCCGUUGUGAAAGUCAAAGGCUCAACCUUUGAAAGCCGAUGGAUACUGCUGAGCUAGAGUACGGAAGAGGCGAGUGGAAUUCCUGGUGUAGCGGUGGAAUGCGCAGAUAUCAGGAGGAACACCAAUAGCGAAGGCAGCUCGCUGGGACGUUACUGACACUAAGGCGCGAAAGCGUGGGGAGCGAACAGG